rnacentral:rRNA from 1 species
CACGUAGGCACCAAGCGUUGUCCGGAUUUAUUGGGCGUAAAGAGCUCGUAGGCGGUUCGGUAAGUCGGGUGUGAAAACUCUGGGCUCAACCCAGAGACGCCACCCGAUACUGCUGUGACUAGAGUGCGGUAGGGGAGCGGGGAAUUCCUGGUGUAGCGGUGAAAUGCGCAGAUAUCAGGAAGAACACCCGUGGCUAAGGCGGCUCUCUAGUACGGUACUGACGCUGAGACGCGAAAGCGUGGGGAGCGAACAGG